GCUUCCCUCGAUCCUGAGGUUGCGAGACAGCGGCUCGUCGAAGCACCAGAUCUCCUGCUCUAAAGACUUUGUUCUUGACCCGGGAGUUGUAAUAGCGAGCGACCUUCUGUCUGUAGGCCGCCAUUCAGACCUGAGCUACCUCCCACCUUUCUUCCAGCAGGUCGAGGUUGGCUUUAAGACCUUGCAAAUUUUGAUGUUCGUCGAAUGCCACGACUCGUGCCGACAGGAGUUUAAGCUC
rnacentral:lncRNA from 1 species